AUGGCAAAGGGGUGUUUACUUCUGUGUUUUGCACGUUGGUGUUACCCCCGGGACAGCUCGGAGUGUGUGACAGCAGCGUACAAAUCACGCAUUCAAAAGUCAGAGCCCUUUCACUGGCAAGGGAUGGGAGCUGCUCGGAGCCGGCCAGCUGCCCCAGUUCUGCUUCCCAGUUCUGCUUCCCAGCGAGGCCGCUUUCCCAGCCCCGCUCUGGGCAUGUUUUACAGACAGACGCACCGAGGAUGCAUCACCCGGACUCCCGGCCAGCCCCGUCCGGGGGUCUGUGUCCCGCGGGUCACAUCACAGCCCUGAGGCUGCUGGAACCGCUGCAAAGCUGCUGGUCCCUGCAUCCAUCAGCUCCCGCGCCGCUCCUCUGGAGCAGAGAGCUCGUGUUUAACGACCGCGUGUGUUUUCACUCAAGCAUUACAUCACCCGGCAACGCCAGCCGGGGGACGGACGGACGGACGGACAGACGGGCCAGCCCGGCUGUGCUGCCCCGGACGACGCUCAUCCCCUCUCCACAUCCUGGGGUGCUCCAUGUCCCCAGCCUGCAGCCUUUUGCAAGGAUGCAGGUGAAUAGAAAAUCCACUCCCAAUCCCACACAAGUCCAUGCAAAACCCACCGGGGGGCCAGCAGCUCAUCCACACCCCCACCAACACCAUCCCCUGGCACGUCCCAGCGCGGGGUGUGGAGGGCAAAACGUUCCCUAAUUCCCACCUCCCAGAUUUCCUGCGGCCACAGCCAUCAGCACUUUCCCUAAAAUAAAGUGGGAGCUGAGACAAGCCAGACAGCCGGGCUCCA